rnacentral:rRNA from 1 species
GACGAACGCUGGCGGCGUGCUUAACACAUGCAAGUCGAGCGGAAAGGCCUCUUUCGGGGGGUACUCGAGUGGCGAACGGGUGAGUAACACGUGAGUAACCUGCCCUUGACUUUGGGAUAACUUCAGGAAACUGGGGCUAAUACCGGAUAGGAGCUCCUGCUGCAUGGUGGGGGUUGGAAAGUUUCGGCGGUUGGGGAUGGACUCGCGGCUUAUCAGCUUGUUGGUGGGGUAGUGGCUUACCAAGGCUUUGACGGGUAGCCGGCCUGAGAGGGUGACCGGCCACAUUGGGACUGAGAUACGGCCCAGACUCCUACGGGAGGCAGCAGUGGGGAAUACUGCACAAUGGGUGGAAGCCUGAUGCAGCAACGCCGUGUGCGGGAUGACGGCCUUCGGGUUGUAAACCGCUUUCGCUCAUGACGAAGCUUUGUGUGACGGUAGUGGGUAAAGAAGCACCGGCUAACUACGUG